ACGGUUCCAUAAAACCAACAUGGCACUCGCCUUGAACCAAGAUCUAUGCCGCGUGAUCGGACCACAAACAGGGCGUUCGCUGGAGUCUGCCCCCCAGCGAAUGGUCGUGGGACAACAUUCUCUUAGAUAAAUGGAUAUCGGUAUAAUGCGAUAGCUAAUGAGAAUAAAUAAAAAGCCUGGCCAAAUCUACUACCUCUAGGAGACAGCUAAUGAGAAUAAAGAAAAAUAAUCUGGGUAAUUAAAUGUACUACCUUGAUCACUCACAAAAAAAAUCUACUACCUUGGGGAGACAGCUAAUGAGGCCUAUAUAAAUGUACUACCCUGGACAAAUCUGUUUGGUCUUGCCAAAAUUGAGUGCUUAAAUAAUAAAUGCAAUAGAAAUCCGUAUAUAUGGAAUUUAUGUGAGAAAUCUGGAUUAUCUUGAGAAAAUUUAGUUAUUAAAACUAGAUUUUGUAGAGGCCUAUAUAAGGAUGCCAUUACAUAUGCUACCUCGCACCCAAAUCCAAACGAGAGAGAAUACAGAAACAAGAGCACGGACGUAUGGAGGGGAAAACUACUCUAUGUUUUCUCACGGUGCUUCUGCUGCUAGGAAAUUGUGCUGAUGCUGAGACCUGCACAGAGCACCGUGCUAACAAGGGCGCAGCGUGCAUAAAUGAAUAUUGUUGGAAAGACUGCGCCAGAGACUACCAUGGACAUUAUGUCAAGAAUGCUUAUUGUACUGGCGUUUACCCCUUCACAAAAGUCUAUUGUGUCUGCGACGUCUGUGAUGAGUAGGAGACAAUGCAGCAUCGCAUUACGAGGUUCAUUUACACAGAGGAUUCAUGAAGUUUGGCAAUAAUAAAUUUUGUCUGUGUAAACGUGUGAACAUGCAUGAUUACUGCCCAGUUAAUUUGUAACGUGGUUGUUUUUGCAUAAACACCAUCAUGUGUUUAUUUA